ensembl:lncRNA
GACCCUCAUCCCAUUGCCUGCUCCGAGAGCAAGAGUUUUCGGGGUUAUUUUUGCUCUGAGAAGUACCAGCCACAGGGUACUUUCUCUGCAGGCAGCCGCCACCCCCUGCUGUGUUUACAUAAAAACACAUUUGCACAGGGUUUUGUUUUUACAUUUGCCUCAGAGGCCUGGAGUCUAUUAAAUGUGGGGAGGCCUGAUGAUCUGGCUGGAAGCAGCUGAUGGGAGAGGGCAGGCUGAAGGAAGAUGCUCUAGGCCUGCAUUUCCUCCCAGUCCCAGGGAGCCCUGGGUCUCUCUGCAGAGGGGAUAAAAGGGCUCACUGAACUCUCUUGUGCAUGUGCCCGGCAUUUCUCAACCUCAGCCCCACUGACAUUUGGGGCUGCGUGAUUUAUUGUUGAGGGGGGCUGCUCUGUAUACCGCAGAAGCAUCCCUGGCUUCUGCCUACCAGCAUCCUUCCACCAGUUGAGAUGAUCAAAAACAUCUUCAGUCGCUCAGUCGUGUCUUUGUGACCCCACGGACUGCAGCACACCAGGCUUCCCUGUCCAUCACCAGCUCCCGGAGUUUGCCAAGUGUCUCCUGCAGGGCAAAAUCGCCCCCACUUGAGAACCACUGGCACACACACGAAGAUACACACACGAAAGCUCAGCUCAGGAACUCUCCGCCUUUCAACGCCCACCUGAAACAAGCGCUGACGCUGUCUCCCGCACCUCUGCAUCCCUGGCUCUUUCCCCAGUGCCUGGCGUGCAACGUUUGAGAGGCUCAAAGGCGUUCUGUGGCAUGAGCAGACCAUGGCGGCACGACUGAUACCGACGGCCACCGGUUUCCGCGGCUGGGAGGGCACUGUCCGGCAUUCGGACUCUGGCCACCAUGCAGGUUUGCACCAUGUGCCAGGCUGUUCCCACAUCACCUCACCCGGCCCACAGAUUGAGGCCCAUGACUGUCUCCAUUUUCCAUAUCAGAUCAGUUGCUCAGUCGUGUCCGACUCUUUGCGACCCCAUGAAUCGCAGCACGCCAGGCCUCCCUGUCAUCACCAACUCCCGGAGUUCACUGAGACUCACAUCCAUUGAGUCAGUGAUGCCAUCCAGCCAUCUCAUCCUCUGUCGUCCCCUUCUCCUCCUGCCCCCAAUCCCUCCCAGCAUCAGAGUCUUUUCCAAUGAGUCAACUCUACGC